AAAGGGGAUAAACGAAAUGCAGAGAACGAAGAAGAAGAAGAAGAAACAGA
rnacentral:sRNA from 1 species